CAAGACAACAACAUUUGUGAAUAACAGUUAAUAUAUCAUAAGCAUACUGUAGGAAAUGGAAAAUGUAUUGUCAUUUUAAUUAAUAAAAACAUGUAAAAAGGUUUCCCAUGCAGUAUGUAAUGCACACAUUUAUGCGCAGGCAAAUUUAUUUCUUCUGAGCUAUAUUUCAAAAUUGCAUGCAACUAUAAUAUUAUCGUAAUUCAACAAUGACACUGCUAGAAAAACAAUAUAGCUUUCCAAAUAUCAAUGGAGAUAAACUGGUGAUUGAGU